AAUGAACGUUGGCGGCAUGGAUUAGGCAUGCAAGUCGGGGGAAUCCGCAAGGGGGAACCGGCGUAAGGGGCAGUAAUGCAUGGGUACCUACCUUUGGGUUCGGGAUAGCCAUCAGAGAUGGUGGGUAAUACCGGAUGACGUCGUGAGACCAAAGAUUUAUCGCCCUUAGAGGGGCCCAUGUGACAUUAGCUAGUUGGUGGGGUAACGGCUCACCAAGGCGAAGAUGUCUAGCGGGUGUGAGAGCACGACCCGCGCCACUCGCACUGAGGCACUGGCGAGACACCUACGGGUGGCUGCAGUCGAGGAUCUUCGGCAAUGGGCGCAAGCCUGACCGAGCGAUGCCGCGUGAGCGAUGAAGGCCUUCGGGUUGUAAAGCUCUUUAGUGGGGGAGAAAAGCCGAAAGGUGUGAUCUAUCCCAAAAGUAAGCUCGGGCUAAGUUCAUGCCAGCCGCCGCGGUAA
rnacentral:rRNA from 1 species